GAGAAUAGAAGGGGGUUAUUGUUGUUGCUUAUAGCUUCAUGGUUGUUACUCUGGACUCUCUACAUGCAGUGCUAAUUGGAUGGUUUCUCGGUAUUGAUGUCUGUGGAAACUAAUCUUGGGCGCGCAGUGACACUGGAGUCUUUAGUUACCUACAUUUUUGGUGGCCGACUCUUAAAGCCUUAAAUGGCUGUGAAGCUUGCUACGCCACAUCUGUUGGAUCUCUACCAACACAACCAUGGUUAAGGCUCUAGUGUUUGGUUAUGGCACAUCUUGAUUUGCCUUGUUACUGGGUGUUGUUUCUCUCUAGUCUUGAUUGUGUUGUGACCCUACGUUCUUCCCUAUGUUGUUAAUCUCUGGUAACAAUCCUGAAGAUGGAGGCGACGGCGAUAGGUAUCGGUGUUUUUCUCCAUAGCAAGGGUUUAGGUGUUUGGACUUGGGCCUAAAAUUUUUAAUAGCCACGAGUUGUAUGUAAUUUUAAGCUGGGUUACGUUAGAUUCUAGACUUUUUAGUUUGUUGAUUUUUAGCUGAUGUAUUUGGGCUUGGCCUAUGAUUUCCAUUAAUAAACUUUUUCUAUAAUAAAUUAUAA
rnacentral:misc_RNA from 1 species